UGCAAGUCGCACGAGAAAGUGGAGCAAUCCAUGAGUACAGUGGCGUACGGGUGAGUAACACGUGGGUAAUCUACCUCUGAGUGGGGAAUAACCCUGGGAAACCGGGGCUAAUACCGCAUAUUCUCGAGAGAGGAAAGCAGCAAUGCGCUGAGAGAGGAGCCCGCGGCCGAUUAGCUAGUUGGCAGGGUAAAAGCCUACCAAGGCAUAGAUCGGUAGCCGGCCUGAGAGGGCACACGGCCACACUGGCACUGAAACACGGGCCAGACUCCUACGGGAGGCAGCAGUGGGGAAUCUUGCACAAUGGGGGAAACCCUGAUGCAGCGACGCCGCGUGAGCGAUGAAGCCCCUCGGGGUGUAAAGCUCUUUCGGCAGGGAAGAUGAUGACGGUACCUGCAGAAGCAGCUGCGGCUAACUACGUGCCAGCAGCCGCGGUAAUACGUAGGCAGCGAGCGUUGUUCGGAGUUACUGGGCGUAAAGGGUGUGUAGGCGGUUGUUUAAGUUUGGUGUGAAAUCUCCCGGCUCAACUGGGAGGGUGCGCCGAAUACUGAAUGACUUCGAGUGCGGGAGAGGAGAGUGGAAUUCCUGGUGUAGCGGUGAAAUGCGUAGAUAUCAGGAGGAACACCGGCGGUGUAGACGGCUCUCUGGACCGUAACUGACGCUGAAACACGAAAGCGUGGGUAGCAAACAGGAUUAGAUACCCUGGUAGUCCACGCCCUAAACGAUGCAUAUUUGGUGUGGGUCAUUCAGUUGAUCCGUGCCGGAGCUAACGCGUUAAAUAUGCCGCCUGGGGAGUACAGUCGCAAGGCUGAAACUCAAAGGAAUUGACGGGGGCCCGCACAAGCGGUGGACAUGUGGUUCAAUUCGACGCAACGCGAAGAACCUUACCUGGGCUCGAACGG
rnacentral:rRNA from 1 species